AGAUUCAUUAUGACUGCUGGUCUUUUUUCAUGGAACUUCAGAGAAGUACAGUAGAAAAAGCAUAAACUAAUGAUUGCUAAAUGGAGCAACGGGAGACAGGACAAGUACACUGUUAUGGGGUAAAUAAGUACGUUGAGGAUUUCUAAAAAGAUUUAAUUAUAAUGCUUUCGGAAACCUACAUUGAUGUGUCUGCGUCAAAACAUCUGCGAUAUUUUUAAUAUUCUUUAGAUACAGCAUAAUUGAUAAUAACAAGGUAAGGAAUAGAUCUCUAAUUUCUUUUAUUUUCUAAUUUUAAAAUUUACUAUUUUGUAUGUUGAUUUCUUUUUUUUUUUUUUUUUUGGUACCUAAAUUUGAAUUUAGUACAUAAAUCUGCCGAAGUCGACUGCCUUUCAGGGUUGAUGAAAUAAUUCCAUUCGAAAACUGGGGUCGAUCUAAUCGACUACCAUCUCCACCAAAAUUUCGAUCCUUGUACCUAUAGCAGUAAAAAAAUGAUUAUUUAAUCUCUAGUUCGUUUUUUUUCUUCUUUUAUUUAAUAUUCAAAAGGACUGCGAACAACUGGCAUCAAAAUCUAUGUAAAAAAAUAAUAGAAUCACGAUGAAACUACUUAAAUAUAUAAAGAGAGGUAGAGAGAUAUUGACAACAUCUUUGUUCUCAAAACUUCUGAUCCUUAGCCAAAACGAGGAACAAUAUUUUGAAAGAGUUGAACUGGAAAAACCCUUGAGCGUCAAAAGAAUUGCUUUACACCUUUCGUUCUGACUCUUUACAGUUAUACUUGAGCUCCUGUCUUGAUCAACUUUGCCUUUCGUCCUUCGGGGUUAGGUAAAAUAAAGUACAAAUCAAGCAAAAGGGGUAAAGAUAACCUCAAAGUCCCAUCCCACACACACAAAACUGUUAUUUUUGUACCUAUAUUAGGAACCAUUUUAAAAGGCGGUUGAUUGGCAGAAUCGUUAGAGCUGGAAUAAAUGCUGUGCGCUAUUGGUUUCGGUUAUUUACGUUCUAAGUUCAAACCCUGCUGAGAUCAACUUUGCGCUUCAUCCUCCCACGUUCGAUAAAAUAAAGCACCAGCAAAGUCACUGGUAGCAUCGACUAAUCCCUCCCUUACUUUCAAAUUACAGAAGAGCGCCGUAGUUCACUCACUCGCUACUACAUCAACCGUUGCCACAUCCUCUGACGCCACCGCUGCUCCUGGUACUUCCGCCAAAGAUAACCCGGUGAUCUCUGGUCUGUAAUAAUUCCUUACAGUUUUCCUCUAUUGAUGGGCUGUUCACAAAAAAUAUUUUAAGAAUUCAUAAGUUCUUAAUUCUCUCUUCGUAUUCUAAUAAGCUCUGCUUUAUUAUUUUGGCGAUGGUUACGAAACGAUGAGCCGGCAGGAUCGUCAGAACGACGGGAAAAAAUGUCUAGAGGCAAUUGUUCUGAUUCAUCACUUUCUGAGUUCAAAUCGUGCCGCGAUUAACUUCACCUUUUAUCCUUUCGAGUGUCGAUAUAAUAAUCCAUAUCCUUCUCACUGUCUCUUUCUCUCCUAUAUAUAUUCUUUUACUUGUUUCAGUCAUUUGACUGUGGCCAUGCACCACCUUUUUUAGUCGAGCAAAUCGACCCCAGGACUUAAUCUUUGUAAGCCUAGUACUUAUUCUAUCGGUCUCUUUUUGCCGAACCGCUAAGUUACGGGGACGUAAACACACCAGCAUCAGAUGUGAAGCGAUGCUGGGGGGACAAGCACACACACACACACAUAUAUAACGAACUGAAAGGAUAUAGUUUUCAAAGUACAAGUAGCACUUAAUGAUGAAUUUCCUCUGUUCAAAGCUAGAUCUUAUUCCUUUGUUUUUAACUUGUUAACUCUAAAAAGAAAUGGAAAUUGGAUUAUCAACUGUGAAAGUGUGAAAACAUUUUUGAGAGGAUGCUCGGUAUAAUGCAUAAUUUUUAAUGGAAGAAGAAAGUAUUUUCUAAAAACCUGUUAUCAUGAAAUAUCUUUGGCGUUCAGCUACUUUUUCAAACAAUUCUCACUGGCUUUGUGUACAGAAGCGGUAGUUGACAGUCUGUCAUGGAAACUCCAGAGUACCGAACCACAUUCUGUUGUGGAUUACACGGGAUUACUCUGAGUUUCAUGUUUUGCGUAAACAUUUUAAAGUUCAAUGUUUGAAGAUCCGCAUGUUUCAUUAUCGUAUACGUAUUUGUUAAGAAAAAAAAAGGUAAAGAAGAAUUGUGCCUCCUUGUUAUAAUGUCUGGGUGGCGAUGGAAUUUUAUUCCUUAGCGCAUUGGAAACCAAGUAAAGACCUCGUAAUUUUGAGGAGAAGUACUUAACCGAUCGCCAAUGCAUGCGCUCAUGUUGAGACGAUAUCCAUGCACGGGCACACACACACACACACACACAAAUGCACUGACACAUACACACAUGCACGGACAGAUAAGUUUAAACACAUAUACACAUAGAGGCACAAAUGCACUCCCAUAUACAGGCGCAGAAAUACAAACAUAUAUAAACAUAGACAUAUAUGAAUACACAAACACACACACACAAUUGCAAACAUAAAAAAACAUGCAUACAAAUACGCGCACAAAUACACUCACUCACACACACACACAUACACGCACAAAAUACAUACACAAAUGCACAACUCGUUCCGUCACUUACUCUCGUUUUUGUGAAUCGAUUUUAAAUGGAAUUAUCCAAUAAAACUUGAGCUGGCUUCUACGUCACCUUUAUCCGGAUCAAACGGAUAUGAAACGUGAUUAAACAGAAUACAGACACCUAUUCAAUAUAUAUAUAUAUAUAUAUAUAUAUAUAUAUAUAUAUGCAUUACUUUGAAGAUCCUAACAGCAUCGUUCUUGCUAUACAUUCAAAAGAACACGCGUUUCUUCUCCUUUUUCUUCUUUUCUUUCUUAUCGUCAUUUAAUUUACUUCCAGUCGGCGAUAUCAUCACGUCGGUUUUGUCGUAAGGGCUGUCAUUGUCGAUCUCACCAUUGCCGUCGUCAUCACAACCAUCAUCAUUGUCAUAUUCUUAUUUCUCGUCGUCCAUAUUACCAUCGUUAUCAUCAUCAUCAUCACCCAAGGUCAUACUGAACGUCGUUGUCAUCAUCGCCAUCACUGCUAAAUUCAUCAUCAUUGCCAUCUCAUCGCACUUCUCAUCGCCGCCAUCCUUGUCCUUCUCCUGUGUUAUAGACCACUACCCCUCCCGCUCCCGCGCACACGCUUGCAUACACAUCCACACUCACUGCACUUACAUGUACGCAGCCAUGCACUCGCACCACAUACACACAUAACAAUCACAUAACACGCGCGUACACACACAUACUCAUUCCUCACUCGCUCAUUCCUCACUCGCUCAUUCCUCACUACUCACUCGCUCACUCCUCACUCGCUCACUCUUCACUCGCUCACUCUUCACUCGCUCACUCUUCACUCGCUCACUCCUCACUCACUCCUCACCGCUCAAGCACACACCGUGCACUCACGCACACUCACUCACUCUCACAAACACUCACACAUACACUCACUCACUUACUCGCACACUCACUCGCACGCUCACUCAGUCUCUCCCUCUCACAUUCAUUCACUCUCUCUCUCUCUCUCACACAUACUCCUUCAGUCUCUCUCUCUCUCUCACACACAUACUCCUUCAGUCUCUCUCUCUCUUUCUCACACACACACACACACACACACACACACACUCAUUCAGACUCUCUCUUUCUCUCACUUCCGCACACACUUGCACUCGCACACGCACAUCUACACCCCUCUAUUGAAAUUGUCAAUAGAUAUCGGGGUAUUGUAUCUAAUAAGAAUUCUUCAUAUUGAUUUUCAAUUCCGUCAAGAACUGGUGAAAAUCGAUAUGUCGUUAAUUCACGGCAUAAACGUAAUUUUCUUUUCAAAGUAACACUGAAUUGUAUAAUGAUAUAUAACCAAAUUAAAAACGCUGCUUCAAUAGCGAAGGCCUCGCUGUCAUCACAGCAGACAAAAAUAUAAUUAACUAGGCUACAGAAUAGAAUUUCAAGAGAGAGAAAUAUAUAUAUGUAUGUAUAUACAUGCAUAUACGUCUGUAUAUACUUGAUCAUCUGUGUGUAGGUAUUUAUAUAAUGUGUACAUGCAAAAUAUAUAUACACACUUAUAUACCUACGUAUAUAUACGUAGGUAGACACGUACGUAUGUGUAUAUAUAUAUAUAUAUACACAUAUACAAACAUUUUAUAUACAUAUAUAUAUAUAUAUAUAUAUACACAUAUACAAACAUUAUAUAUAUAUAUAUAUACACAUAUACAAACAUUAUAUAUAUAUAUAUAUACACAUAUACAAACAUUAUAUAUAUAUAUAUAUACACAUAUACAAACAUUAUUUAUAUAUAUAUAUAUAUAUAUAUAUAUACACAUAUACAAACAUUAUAUAUAUAUAUAUAUAUAUAUAUAUAUAUAUAUACACAUAUACAAACAUAUAUAUAUAUAUAUAUAUAUAUAUACACAUAUACAAACAUAUAUAUAUAUAUAUAUAUAUAUACACAUAUACAAACAUUAUAUAUAUAUAUAUAUAUAUAUAUAUAUACACAUAUACAAACAUUAUAUAUAUAUACACAUAUACAAACAUAUAUAUAUAUAUAUAUACACACAUAUACAAACAUUAUAUAUAUAUAUAUAUACACACAUAUACAAACAUUAUAUAUAUAUAUAUAUAUAUAUAUAUAUACAUAUACAUAAUAUAUAUAUAUAUAUAUAUACAUAUACAUAUACAAACAUUAUAUAUAUAUAUAUAUACAUAUACAUAUACAAACAUUAUAUAUAUAUAUAUAUAUAUAUACAUAUACAAACAUUAUAUAUAUAUAUAUACGUAUACAAACAUUAUAUAUAUAUAUAUAUAUAUAUAUACAUAUACAAACAUUAUAUAUAUAUAUAUACAUAUACAAACAUUAUAUAUAUAUACAUAUACAAACAUUAUAUAUAUAUAUAUAUAUAUAUAUACAUAUACAAACAUAUAUAUAUAUAUAUAUAUAUAUACAUAUACAUAUACAAACA
rnacentral:lncRNA from 1 species